GGAGGGGUGGCCGAGUGGUUAAUGGCAGCAGACUGUAAAUCUGCCGGCGAGAGCCUACGUGAGUUCAAAUCUUACCCCCUCCACCA
rnacentral:tRNA from 1 species